GAGCUCGUAGUCUAGCUGGUUAUGACGUCGCGCUUACACCGCGAAGAUCGGGAGUUCAAAUCUCCCCGAGCUCA
rnacentral:tRNA from 1 species